UAAGGAUUUAAGUUAAAACUUAAACUAAUAACCUUCAAAGUUAUAAAUGAAAUAAUUUCAAGCCUUAA
rnacentral:tRNA from 1 species